CUGGCAAAGUUUGAGAUGGGUGUUGCUUCUUCAGACUGGGUCCCAAAGAGAGUGGGAUGUAGAGCAGAAUCCCAGAUGACCUGUGAUGGACCUGUUAUCCCAGAUGACCUGUGAUGGACCCGUUAUCCCAGAUGACCUGUGAUGGACCCGUUAUCCCAGAUAAGCAAAAAGUUUGCCUUUGCGGCUUCAAGCCACUGAGAUUUGGGGCUCAUUUGGUACUUCAGCUGACCGCUGACAGACGUCCAUGAGUUAAAUUUAGCAGCUGAGGCUCUGCCCAUAGGUGUAGGGAGAGUUGUUCGGUGCUGCCUGUACCUAGAAGGAACUCAGAUUCUCCUGUCACAAGAGGCCCAUGACCACAGGGUUAAAAACACAACAACAGGAAUAAAAACACACCCAGUUCUUAGAAAAGGAGACCUCCUGAUCACAGAGGAAGUCAUUUCCAUAAAGGGAUUCCUGACUGCUUGCUCAAGCUGGGAAUAGGCCUAUGAAGUUCCAAUUAAAAGGUGUCAAAUGGCUUGUGGAGGUGGCAUAUACUUCGCACUGGGGCCUGAGAAGUCAGCAUGGCCUAUACUAGAGAGUGAGAAUGUGCCCAAAGAGAGCUGCAUUUGGGAAGUGACAGCAUCCCCAUUGAUGCCAGAGCAAGGAAUGUGUGAGCAUUUUCCCUGGCUUGGAUCUGGAGAGAGACUUGGCCUGGAACUAUAUCAAAAGCCGUCCAAGGGAACCCUCAGGGAGGGACAUCUGCUUGACCUUCCUGGGUGGCAAACCACCAGGUUAGGGUGAUCACUGCAUCUGCUUGGCAGGAGUGCCGCUGUACGGAGGAGAAGCCUCCCGUAACCCACUACAGCCAUCACCUGAUAAGGCCCUUACGCUGACGGUUGACAUUUAGGCAUGAGCAGGUUAACCACAAGCAAUAUCCUACUUUGGCAAAGACAUCCAGUUAUUUUAACAUCUCCAUAUUGUA